rnacentral:lncRNA from 1 species
ACACCCCACAUAACCCCUUCCUUCCUUACAUACCAUUCCUCCCUUUAAGUUCCAACAUUAUACUUCUCAUUUUUAUUUAUUCUUCUUUUCCAUACUUCCAUACAAGCUGUGAGCUCCAACCCAACCACCACUUCUUCAUCUUUAAUCUCUCUCCAAACCAUACCCUAGUUCAUAACCAUCCUCACUAAAUCUCUCUCUUUCUCAUUCAAAUAUAACUCCUAACGCCACUCACUCCUCUUCUUUCCUAACCAUAUUUCUUCUUCUCUCUUACGAUUUAGUUU